UACGGAGGGUGCAAGCGUUAAUCGGAAUUACUGGGCGUAAAGCGUGCGCAGGCGGUUUGUUAAGUCUGCUGUGAAAUCCCCGAGCUCAACUUGGGAAUUGCAGUGGAUACUGGCAAGCUGGAGUACGGUAGAGGAAGGUGGAAUUCCCGGUGUAGCAGUGAAAUGCGUAGAGAUCGGGAGGAACACCAGUGGCGAAGGCGGCCUCUGGACCAGUACUGACGCUCAUGCACGAAAGCGUGGGGAGCGAACAGG
rnacentral:rRNA from 1 species